UACGGAGGGGGCGAGCGUUAUUCGGAAUUAUUGGGCGUAAAGGGCGCGUAGGCGGCUUUACAAGUCAAAGGUGAAAUCCCUCGGCUCAACUGAGGAACUGCCUUUGAAACUGUAAGGCUUGAGGCCGGGAGGGGGCAGCGGAAUUCCCAGUGUAGCGGUGAAAUGCGUUGAUAUUGGCAGGAACGCCGGUGGCGAAAGCGCGUUGCUGGACCUCUUCUGACGCUGAUGCGCGAAAGCUAGGGGAGCAAACGGG
rnacentral:rRNA from 1 species